GUGCUUGCUUCAGCAGCAUAUAUACUAAAAUUGGAAUGCCACAGAGAAGAUUAGCAUGACCCCUGUGCAAGGAUGGCAUGCAAAUUCAUGAAGCCAUCCAUAUUUUA
rnacentral:snRNA from 1 species